rnacentral:misc_RNA from 1 species
GUAUUAAUUAAGCCCUUAGGCUAAUGACAUUCUACAUUACAAAAAAAAAUGGAUUUGUGUGAUCGGGCGAAGAAGAAGCUUGAAUGCCACAGGGUCCUGGGAACCACUGCCACAUGUCAAUACCUCGACUUCGAAGGUGCACAGGUGUUAAGUGGAAUGAGUAGAACUGAGCACAUGCUUUGGAGUAAGCCAGCAUCAAAUCCUGUUUCAAACUCAUCAAAUGAUCCUUCCGCAGGUUCACCUACGGAAA